rnacentral:piRNA from 1 species
UCUGGUACCCUCUGCUGGCAUGCA